rnacentral:lncRNA from 1 species
UAGAUCAAAUCAACAAUUUAAAUUAGGAUCUUUCAUUAUCACUAAACUGUCGCCUUGUGAACUUUUUGUUGAUUACAAGUAAUAACAAUAAAAAUAUCAUCAUAAUAUAUAUAGAGAGAGAUAUAAGAAAACACACGUAAUUGUAAAAUUACAUAAUGGAAAUAUUGUACAACGUAACACCCCACUAUAUAUAGUACCCCAUACGCCUUCUCCCUAUAGGAAAAAGGACUUACAGUGGAAUACAAAUUCAAAUAGCCUGAAAGCUAAUAACAUAACGACUGGACGACUCAAAGCAAAUGCAAAUCAACAAAGAAAAGUGCAAAAAAAAAAUAUGAGAAUGUGGUUAAGUAGACAAGUCUACUUAGUUCUUAGGGGGUGGUGGGGUGAAAAAUGGGAUAGAAGUAGGGAAUUUUGGGAAUGAAGGAAAUGAUGGAAUUGGUGGCAUUGCAACUCUUGGAAUGCUUGGAAUUGAUGGCAUUGGUGGCAUUGAUCCAACCCUAGGAAUUGAUGGCAAAUUUGGAAUAAUACUAGGCAUAUUAGGGAUACUAGGCAUGCCUGUAUUGAUGGCAUUGGUGACAUUGAUCCAACCCUAGGAAUUGAUGGCAAAUUUGGAAUAAUACUAGGCAUAUUAGGGAUACUUGGCAUGCCUGGAAUUGUAGGGAAACUUGGAUUAUUGUUCUGUAAUAACUGACGACCAGCUUCUGAUUUCCCACUCAAUAUUGCAAAGGAGAGAACAACCACCAUAAAAAUACUAGUGUAUAUGCUUCUAGCCAUAGUUUCUUUCUUUUUAGAAAAAAAUAUGUAUGUAGUUGGAGCUGAAGUUGAGAAGACACUCAGAUUUUGUUUGCUGUUGAUG